UGUGCUGAUGAUAAGUCAUUAGGAAGUGCCGUCAGAUGCGAUAACUGACGACUUUUGAUGCGUAGCUGAUG